rnacentral:rRNA from 1 species
UACGUAGGGAGCAAGCGUUGUCCGGAAUUACUGGGCGUAAAGGGUGCGUAGGCGGUUUUUCAAGUCAGAUGUGAAAUACCCAGGCUUAACCUGGGGGGUGCAUUUGAAACUGGGAGACUUGAGUACAGGAGAGGAAAGUGGAAUUCCUAGUGUAGCGGUGAAAUGCGUAGAUAUUAGGAGGAACACCAGUGGCGAAGGCGACUUUCUGGACUGUAACUGACGCUGAGGCACGAAAGCGUGGGGAGCAAACAGG